UACGUAGGGGGCAAGCGUUGUCCGGAAUUAUUGGGCGUAAAGGGCUCGCAGGCGGUCUUCUAAGUCUGAUGUGAAAUCUCGUGGCUUAACCACGAGCGGUCAUUGGAAACUGGAGGACUUGAGUACAGAAGAGGAGAGUGGAAUUCCACGUGUAGCGGUGAAAUGCGUAGAUAUGUGGAGGAACACCAGUGGCGAAGGCGACUUCCUGGACCGGUUCUGACACUGAGGAGCGAAAGCGUGGGGAGCGAUCCGG
rnacentral:rRNA from 1 species